rnacentral:rRNA from 1 species
CGGUGGUCAUAGCGAGGUGUCCAAACCCGAUCCCAUUCCGAACUCGGUCGUUAAACGCCUCAGCGCCGAUGGUACUUCGUCUUAAGGCGCGGGAGAGUAGGUCGCUGCCGG